UCUCAUAGAUGAGCAAAGAAAGUGAUUUCCUGAGAUGGAAUUUACUGCUGGUGAAGAUACUAUGAA
rnacentral:pre_miRNA from 1 species